ACGUAGACUGCGGCAGCCGGCCUCCUUGAGUUAAAAGGGAAUCCAGUGUGAAUCUGGAGCUGACGCGCAGCGGUAAAAGAAUGUCGUGGUGAUCGCAAUUGCAGACACUGUCCUCGCGGAUGGGAAGUCUUCACCACUUAUGAUUCCCAGCCUGAAGACCUGCCGGUGUGGCGUCGCAACUU
rnacentral:ncRNA from 13 species